GCCAGGAUGGUGCAGUGGUUUGAAUGUUUGACUCUAACUUGGGGGACUAGGGUUCGAAUCCUUGCUCAGCCA